AUGGCCUGCUUCCCUUGCAACCCGCUCCCCCACCUUCCCCCUGGCACUACAAUCAUCCCUCCUGGCCCCCUCCGUGCUCGUCGUGGAUAUGUGGUUCUUGGUGGUGAGCUUCCGAUGGUGUGCGAUGAGUGGGAAAUCGCCACGCUCGUCCCCGAGGUCUCUGCUGAGGAGUUCCAUCGCGCCAUCGCUCUGAUCACCAACUACUUGGAGGGGCAUGGAUGGCGCAUAAACUACACAUCUGGCUGUGGUAUGGGUACUGCUUUGAUUCAGUUUACUACUGCCCGCUCGCGUGAUACUGCUGUUAGUCACAGUCUGUUUCAGAUUGGGGAUUCUGUUCUUAGAAUUAGCAGACAGGAUAGAGGCAUUAAUUAUCGCAGCAUUACAUUCACGCAUGAUGUUUGGAUCCUGCUCAUGAAUUAUCCUCUUGAGUGUUGGGAUGUGGGAGUCAUCAGCCGCACUAUCUCGCCUUAUGGCCGUUUUUUGAUCUGGAACAAAGAUCCAAGGGACAAGUCGAGAGUAGUUGUUAAGCUUAGGGUCAUGAAUGUGGACACAAUACCCAUUAGCUUAAUUGUACUGAGGAACCUCGAUGAUGUUGGUUAUGGCGAUUCAUGGACUUGCCCCACAUAUAUUUUGUCCAGGGAGCUGAUUGGUCAACAAGGGGGGAUGAGGUCCUCACUGCCCCCAAAUGGUGGUAAUCCUCACCCCCUUCCUCAUGUUCAUGGAGGGUUUUGGCAUGAUGAGGUCUAA
rnacentral:rRNA from 1 species